CUCCGUUUCGUUUUUAACACAAAGAAUCUACUGUUUGCCGAUAAUUUAGGUGAUUUGGAGGAUAAAUCUACGUGCACUGCUGGUUGGCAUUCCUUUUCGAACUCGAAGCGGUUGUCGACGGUCGUGUUCUGUGCUACGGUGUUACGGUGCUACAGUACUACAGUGCUACAGCUACAGUAGCUACGUACGGUACGCACGCUGCUGCCCGUUUUUUGGUUUGCGAUGGCUGCUGGCUGUUCCCCUUCUUCACUGGCAUCAGAAUCGAUGGCAUGAGAAUACAGAUAAACGAUCGGAUUCGCUGACUUUUUGGUACAACAAGUGAUUUGGAGGAUAAAUCUACGUGCACUGCUGGUUGGCAUUCCUUUUCGAACUCGAAGCGGUUGUCGACGGUCGUGUUCUGUGCUACGGUGUUACGGUGCUACAGUACUACAGUGCUACAGCUACAGUAGCUACGUACGGUACGCACGCUGCUGCCCGUUUUUUGGUUUGCGAUGGCUGCUGGCUGUUCCCCUUCUUCACUGGCAUCAGAAUCGAUGGCAUGAGAAUACAGAUAAACGAUCGGAUUCGUUGACUUUUUGGUACAACAAAUCAAAGAGCGUUUCAAGCAAUAAUUACGACGCAGACGUGAUUCUCGGACUUUCGAAACGAAAUUUAUGGCAUUUAUGCUGGCGUUAAAUCAAAUGAUGAAACAAGAAAAAACUUGACUGUGGAGAAAAGGACUAAAGUUAUAUAAUAUAGAUUAGCUGUUGUCCGUAAAUUGUAUUUUGUUAAUUUGUUGUUAGAGUAAGAUUCCUUUCUGAUGCACAAAACUUGGCUGUUUUUUAUCUUUCUAUUUCUUAACUGCUUUGUUCCUGCAGUGUUUCAAAAGCUAAUUGUGACGAAGAUGUGAUAUGUGGACCUCAAAUGUAUAGAACUGCGUAAUAACUCUAUAACUCUUUGGAGUUUAGAAGAAGAGUCAUUAAUUCUUAAGAAAUUUUUAGAUGAUAUAUAUCUAAACGAGCACCAUGGACCAAUAACGGCUAACAGGAAUUUAUUGUUGGAAAACUUUAAUGUUUGAUUCAAAAUAAACAGAGGAAGUUUAAAGGUGGCCCCAAAUUAUAUCUUAAAACAGCAUCACAAGUGAACAAGAAUUGAACGAAAUGCUCUGAUAAAGAUAUUCAUGUUGGAUUCAAAAUGAACAUUACAGCUUUAAGAAUGGCCUUAGAAAAUAUUUUCAAGCGCCCUAUAAGUCGACGAGGGCUAAGAAUGUAUGAUUGGAAAACUCAAAAAUUUGAUUCUGACUAAAUAGGAGAAAUUAUAGGAUUAACCCAUGAAAUUUUGUCCUUUAAGGAAAAUGGAUUUGUUGUAUUCGUCGCUUAACAAGACCAUAUUCAAAUGAUUUUAUGCUUAAUUUGAUGAAAUUACACUAAAAACCUGUUGCUUACUGCUAGACCCCUGCCGCUAACGGUGAAUUUUUGCCUCUAUUCGUGGUUUUGUGCUGAAAGGAAGCUGGAUUGUUACUGUAGAUUGUGCCUGCAUCAUUUUUGGAAUUGUAAAUGAAUCAUUCUAGAAACCAUUUUAAAUGACUUCCUGCUUAUUUGGGUGAAAUUACACUAAAAACCGGUUGCUAAAAGGAGUCGUUAGACCCGCCGCGAACGUGUUUCUAUUGCUUAUUGAUAAUCUUAAUAAUCGAGGAACUACUCAUUGGGUUGAUUCUAUUAGGAAUUUCGUAAGUAUCGGUAUCUGGGGCCAGCAAGUAAUUAAGUUUACGUUUACUUUUCUUAAAGGAUUUACUGAAUUACAAUCAAGGUAAUAAAGCAUUAUCUUCCUACACAAAAGUAGCUCUUAUCUCAAUUGGGUUGUUGCUGCAAGUAAAUAAUACUUUGUCCUCGAGCAAUUAUUUCCUGCUCUUGCCAAUAGUAUAUGCUACUCACAGUAGGCGUGACUAUGGAUUGGAUUAAUUAUGUUUGUCUUCUGUCAUGUUUAGAAUGUGCUUGCCUGCUUGCUGUAUGAUAUUACACUUUUUGCUUGCAUUCCUUAUUAAAUUGAAAGAAUGUAGGAGGGUCUUGUUUUUUUACUUUGAUUUUCAGGAUAGAUUCAAUUUUAAUUUGAUUUGUCAGAGGAGUAAACAGAUAAGUAAAGUUGGGAAGUCUUACCAUGAAAUGUUAUGGAAAAUUAAAACAGGAGACUUAGGGGGUAACCCAUUAAAAUAUUCAAACGAGGAACACGAAUAGACCUGGGCUUGCAAAGGUUUGAAGCAACUUUCAAUUAACGGAAGACUAGCUCCCCUACGAAGCCCGCUACGCGGGCUUGCCAGUGACCCUACGGUAGAGUACAUAGAUUAGCCUUGGAAAAGACAAGAAUUUUCUUAAUACCCCCUAUGAAUGAUAGUAAAAUUAGCCUCGGCAAAGACAAGAAUUCUGUCGAAGCCCCCUAUGAGUUUGCAGAUUAGCCUCGGAAAAGACAAGAGGGGUAUCAACCUCGAUUUGAAAAAAAUUGGCUCCGCAUA